AGAAUCAACGCUGGCGGCGCGCUUAACACAUGCAAGUCGCACGAGAAAGGGAGCAAUCGUGAGUAAAGUGGCGUACGGGUGAGUAACACGUGGAUCAUCUACCUUUUAGUGGGGAAUACCUCCGGGAAACUGGAGAUAAUACCGCAUAAGCUCGAAAGAGGAAAGCCGAAAGGCGCUGAAAGAGGAGUCCGCGGCUGAUUAGCUAGAUGGCGGGGUAACGGCCCACCAUGGCGACGAUCGGUAGCCGGCCUGAGAGGGCACACGGCCACACUGGCACUGAAACACGGGCCAGACUCCUACGGGAGGCAGCAGUGGGGAAUCUUGCACAAUGGAGGAAACUCUGAUGCAGCGACGCCGCGUGAGCGAUGAAGCCCUUCGGGGUGUAAAGCUCUUUCGACGGGAACGAUAAUGACGGUACCCGGAGAAGAAGCUGCGGCUAACUACGUGCCAGCAGCCGCGGUAAUACGUAGGCAGCGAGCGUUGUUCGGAAUUACUGGGCGUAAAGAGUGUGUAGGCGGUGCUCUAAGUCUGUUGUGAAAUUUCCCGGCUUAACUGGGAGGGUGCGGCGGAAACUGGAAUGCUAGAGGGUGGGAGAGGUAAGCGGAAUUCCUAGUGUAGCGGUGAAAUGCGUAGAUAUCAGGAGGAACACCUGUGGUGUAGACAGCUUACUGGACCACUUCUGACGCUGAGACACGAAAGCGUGGGUAGCAAACAGGAUUAGAUACCCUGGUAGUCCACGCCCUAAACGAUGCUAACUUGGUGUGAGCGAUUCAUUUCGUUCGUGCCGGAGCUAACGCGUUAAGUAUGCCGCCUGGGGAGUACGGUCGCAAGGCUGAA
rnacentral:rRNA from 1 species